ACAGGUGUUGCAUGGCUGUCGUCAGCUCGUGCCGUGAGAUGUUCGGUUAAGUCCGGCAACGAGCGCAACCCACAUCCCUAGUUGCCAGCAGUUCGGCUGGGCACUCUAUGGAAACCGCCCGUGAUAAGCGGGAGGAAGGUGUGGAUGACGUCAAGUCCUCAUGGCCCUUACGGGUUGGGCUACACACGUGCUACAAUGGUGGUGACAGUGGGUUAAUCCCCAAAAACCAUCUCAGUUCGGAUUGUCGUCUGCAACUCGACGGCAUGAAGUCGGAAUCGCUAGUAAUCGCGUAACAGCAUGACGCGGUGAAUACGUUCCCGGGCCUUGUACACACCG
rnacentral:rRNA from 1 species